rnacentral:rRNA from 1 species
UACGGAGGGUGCGAGCGUUAAUCGGAAUUACUGGGCGUAAAGGGCACGCAGGCGGUUUGUUAAGUCAGAUGUGAAAUCCCCGAGCUUAACUUGGGAACGGCAUUUGAAACUGGCAGGCUGGAGUCUUGUAGAGGGGGGUAGAAUUCCAGGUGUAGCGGUGAAAUGCGUAGAGAUCUGGAGGAAUACCGGUGGCGAAGGCGGCCCCCUGGACAGAUACUGACACUCAGAUGCGAAAGCGUGGGGAGCAAACAGG